rnacentral:rRNA from 1 species
UGGCCUUUGCGCAGCUACACAUGCAGUCGGACGGUAGCACAGAGGAGCUUGCUCCUCGGGUGACGAGUGGCGGACGGGUGAGUAAUGUCUGGGAAACUGCCCGAUGGAGGGGGAUAACUACUGGAAACGGUAGCUAAUACCGCAUAACGUCGCAAGACCAAAGUGGGGGACCUUCGGGCCUCACACCAUCGGAUGUGCCCAGAUGGGAUUAGCUUGUAGGCGGGGUAACGGCCCACCUAGGCGACGAUCCCUAGCUGGUCUGAGAGGAUGACCAGCCACACUGGAACUGAGACACGGUCCAGACUCCUACGGGAGGCAGCAGUGGGGAAUAUUGCACAAUGGGCGCAAGCCUGAUGCAGCCAUGCCGCGUGUAUGAAGAAGGCCUUCGGGUUGUAAAGUACUUUCAGCGGGGAGGAAGGUGUUGAGGUUAAUAACCUCAGCAAUUGACGUUACCCGCAGAAGAAGCACCGGCUAACUCCGUGCCAGCAGCCGCGGUAAUACGGAGGGUGCAAGCGUUAAUCGGAAUUACUGGGCGUAAAGCGCACGCAGGCGGUCUGUUAAGUCAGAUGUGAAAUCCCCGGGCUUAACCUGGGAACUGCAUUUGAAACUGGCAGGCUUGAGUCUCGUAGAGGGGGGUAGAAUUCCAGGUGUAGCGGUGAAAUGCGUAAAGAUCUGGAGGAAUACCGGUGGCGAAGGCCGC